AGCGAACGCUGGCGGCAGGCCUAACACAUGCAAGUCGAACGAGACCUUCGGGUCUAGUGGCGGACGGGUGAGUAACACGUGGGAACGUGCCUUUAGGUUCGGAAUAACUCAGGGAAACUUGUGCUAAUACCGAAUGUGCCCUUCGGGGGAAAGAUUUAUCGCCUUUAGAGCGGCCCGCGUCUGAUUAGCUAGUUGGUGGGGUAAUGGCUCACCAAGGCUACGAUCAGUAGCUGGUCUGAGAGGAUGGCCAGCCACAUUGGGACUGAGACACGGCCCAAACUCCUACGGGAGGCAGCAGUGGGGAAUCUUGCGCAAUGGGCGAAAGCCUGACGCAGCCAUGCCGCGUGAAUGAUGAAGGUCUUAGGAUUGCAAAAUUCUUUCACCGGGGACGAUAAUGACGGUACCCGGAGAAGAAGCCCCGGCUAACUUCGUGCCAGCAGCCGCCGUAAGAC
rnacentral:rRNA from 1 species